rfam:Gossypium raimondii Chr11_contig_602, whole genome shotgun sequence.
GCCUUAGUGGUUAAAUGGUAGACACGCGAGACUCGAAAUCUCAUGUUAAAUAGCAUGGAGGUUCGAGUCCUCUUCAAGGCA